rnacentral:tRNA from 1 species
CACUAAGAAGCUAAACCGGGAGUAGCGUUAGCCUUUUAAGCUAAAGACUGGUGGUUCCCCACCACCCUUAAUGA